GAUGAACGCUAGCUACAGGCUUAACACAUGCAAGUCGCAGGGUAACAUGAGGAAAGCUUGCUUUCCUUGAUGCCGACUGGCGCACGGGUGAGUAACGCGUAUCCAACCUUCCCAUAACUACGGGAUAACCCGUUGAAAGACGGCCUAAUACCGUAUGACAUCGUUUGCUGACAUCAAAUAACGAUUAAAGGUUUAGCGGUUAUGGAUGGGGAUGCGUCUGAUUAGCUUGUUGGCGGGGUAACGGCCCACCAAGGCGACGAUCAGUAGGGGUUCUGAGAGGAAGGUCCCCCACAUUGGAACUGAGACACGGUCCAAACUCCUACGGGAGGCAGCAGUGAGGAAUAUUGGUCAAUGGGCGAGAGCCUGAACCAGCCAAGUAGCGUGCAGGAUGACGGCCCUAUGGGUUGUAAACUGCUUUUAUGUGGGGAUAAAGUGCGUGACGUGUCAUGCAUUGCAGGUACCACAUGAAUAAGGACCGGCUAAUUCCGUG
rnacentral:rRNA from 1 species